rnacentral:rRNA from 1 species
GGCUGAAAUUCGCCUUCAUGAAGCCGGAAUUGCUAGUAAUGGCAGGUCAGCAUACUGCCGUGAAUACGUUCCCGGGUCUUGUACACACCGCCCGUCACACCAUGGGAGCCGGGAAUGCCCGAAGUCGGCAGCCGAACCGUAAGGAAGGAGCCGCCGAAGGCAGGCCCGGUAACUGGGGUGAAGUCGUAACAAGGUAUC